rnacentral:rRNA from 1 species
CCUACGGGAGGCAGCAGUGAGGAAUAUUGGUCAAUGGGCGCGAGCCUGAACCAGCCAAGUAGCGUGAAGGAUGACUGCCCUACGGGUUGUAAACCUCUUUUAUAAAGGAAUAAAGUGAGGCACGUGUGCCUUUUUGUAUGUACCUUAUGAAUAAGGAUCGGCUAACUCCGUGCCAGCAGCCGCGGUAAUACGGAGGAUCCGAGCGUUAUCCGGAUUUAUUGGGUUUAAAGGGAGCGUAGGGGGGUUGUUAAGUCAGUUGUGAAAGUUUGGGGCUCAACCGUAAAAUUGCAAUUGAUACUGGCAGUCUUGAGUACAGUUGAGGUAGGCGGAAUUCGUGGUGUAGCGGUGAAAUGCUUAGAUAUAACGAAGAACUCCGAUUGCGAAGGCAGCUUACCAGACUGCCACUGACGUUGAGGCACGAAAGUGUGGGUAUCGAACAGGAUUAGAUACCCGAGUAGUC